AUUGAACGCUGGCGGCAGGCCUAAUACAUGCAAGUCGAGCGAGCGGCGGACGGGUGAGUAAUGUCUGGGAAACUGCCUGCUGGGGGGGGAUAACUACUGGAAACGGUUGCUAAUACCGCCUACUAUCAGAUGUGCCCAGAUGGGAUUGGCUGGUGGGUGGGGUAACGGCGCACCUGGGCGACGAUCCCUAGCUGGUCUGAGAGGAUGACCAGCCCCACUGGAACUGAGACACGGUCCAGACUCCUACGGUAGGCAGCAGAGGGGAAUAUUGCACAAUGGGCGCAAGCCGAAUGCAGCCAUGCCGCGUGUGUGAAGAAGGCCUUCGGGUUGUAAAGCACUUUCAGCGGGGAGGCGUUACCCGCAGAAAAAGCACCGGCUAACUCCGUGCCAGCAGCCGCGGUAAUAC
rnacentral:rRNA from 1 species